GAAGCUGACCAGACAGUCGCCGCUUCGUCGUCGUCCUUUCGGGGAGACGGGCGGAGGGGAGGAAAGUCCGGGCUCCAUAGGGCAGGGUGCCAGGUAACGCCUGGGGGGGAAACCCACGACCAGUGCAACAGAGAGCAGACCGCCGAUGGCCCACGUAAGUGGGAUCAGGUAAGGGUGAAAGGGUGCGGUAAGAGCGCACCGCGCGGCUGGUAACAGUCCGUGGCACGGUAAACUCCACCCGGAGCAAGGCCAAAUAGGGGUUCAUAAGGUACGGCCCGUACUGAACCCGGGUAGGCUGCUUGAGCCAGUGAGCGAUUGCUGGCCUAGAUGAAUGAUUGUCCACGACAGAACCCGGCUUAUCGGUCAGUUUCACUU
rnacentral:RNase_P_RNA from 1 species